AGAGUUUGAUCCUGGCUCAGGAUGAACGCUGGCGGCGUGCCUAACACAUGCAAGUCGAGCGAUUUACUUCGGUAAAGAGCGGCGGACGGGUGAGUAACGCGUGGGUAACCUGCCCUGUACACACGGAUAACAUACCGAAAGGUAUGCUAAUACGAGAUAAUAUACUUUUAUCGCAUGGUAGAAGUAUCAAAGCUCCGGCGGUACAGGAUGGACCCGCGUCUGAUUAGCUAGUUGGUAAGGUAACGGCUUACCAAGGCGACGAUCAGUAGCCGACCUGAGAGGGUGAUCGGCCACAUUGGAACUGAGACACGGUCCAAACUCCUACGGGAGGCAGCAGUGGGGAAUAUUGCACAAUGGGCGAAAGCCUGAUGCAGCAACGCCGCGUGAGCGAUGAAGGCCUUCGGGUCGUAAAGCUCUGUCCUCAAGGAAGAUAAUGACGGUACUUGAGGAGGAAGCCCCGGCUAACUACGUGCCAGCAGCCGCGGU
rnacentral:rRNA from 1 species